rnacentral:rRNA from 1 species
AAUUAGUUUUUUAAUUGGAAAAUAGAAUGAAUGAUAUUACAAAAAUAUGUAUGUUUUUACUAAAAGGUGAAUUUUUAAUUUAGGUGAAAAUACCCAAUAAAUAUUUUUAGACGAGAAGACCCUAUGAAGCUUAUAAAUUGUAAAUUUUUCUUCCUAUCUUUACAGUAAAUUUAUUAUUUGGGGAAAAGCUUAAUAUUCUUAUUAAUAUGUACUUAUUUGAAAUAAUCCUAGUAGUUGGAAAGAUAAAAAAGCUCCUCUAGGGAUAACAGCAUUAUGCUUAUAAGAGUUCUUAUCAGAAUAAGUGU